UACGUAGGGGGCAAGCGUUGUCCGGAAUUACUGGGCGUAAAGAGCUCGUAGGUGGUUUGUCGCGUUGUUCGUGAAAACUCACAGCUCAACUGUGGGCGUGCGGGCGAUACGGGCAGACUUGAGUACUGCAGGGGAGACUGGAAUUCCUGGUGUAGCGGUGGAAUGCGCAGAUAUCAGGAGGAACACCGGUGGCGAAGGCGGGUCUCUGGGCAGUAACUGACGCUGAGGAGCGAAAGCGUGGGGAGCGAACAGG
rnacentral:rRNA from 1 species